rnacentral:rRNA from 1 species
GAUCAUGGCUCAGGAUGAACGCUAGCUACAGGCUUAACACAUGCAAGUCGAGGGGCAGCAUGGUCUUAGCUUGCCAAGGCUGAUGGCGACCGGCGCACGGGUGAGUAACACGUAUCCAACCUGCCGUCUACUCUUGGCCAGCCUUCUGAAAGGAAGAUUAAUCCAGGAUGGGAUCAUGAGUUCACAUGUCCGCAUGAAUUAAAGGUUAUUUUCCGGUAGACGAUGGGGA